CAUUUUAAAAAACAACACGUCGUCAAUCUCUCCGUUGUAUACUUAAAGCUUGCGCACGGAUUUUUAGUAUUAUAAAAUUUUAUGUGGAUAUUCCAGUGAAGGGAUAGUAAAUGUAAAAAAACUCUCCUAAACAACAGGGGAUUUUAUGACUUGGUCACUAAGACCUUUAAGUCAUGUCUUAUUUUAAUUAAUAUUCUUAUUUUUAUGAAAAAUGAUAAUAUGGAGUGAAAUGAAAUGAAGAUGAUUAAUUUGAGACAUUAAUCAACUGGGAUGAAAUGAAAUGAAAUAAGAUGAUAUGGGAUGAAAAAAUAAAUAAUAUUAGUAAAA